rnacentral:rRNA from 1 species
AUUGAACGCUGGCGGCAGGCCUAACACAUGCAAGUCGAACGCGUGGCGGACGGGUGAGUAAUGUCUGGGAAACUGCCCGAUGGAGGGGGAUAACUACUGGAAACGGUAGCUAAUACCGCAUACACUAGCAUGUGCCCCGAUGGGAUUAGCUCGUAGGUGGGGUAACUGCUAACCGCGGCGACGCUCCCUAGCUGGUCUGAGAGGAUGACCAGCCACACUGGAACGGAGACACGGUCCAGACUCCUACGGGAGGCAGCAGUGGGGAAUAUUGCACAAUGGGCGCAAGCCUGAUGCAGCCAUGCCGCGUGUAUGAAGAAGGCCUUCGGGUUGUAAAGUGCUUUCAGCGAGGAGGCGUUACUCGCAGAAGAAGCACCGGCUAACUCCGUGCCAGCAGCCGCGGUAAUAC